rnacentral:lncRNA from 1 species
ACUCACUAAUCUAUUAAGACCUAGACAACCAGGUGAGGGGAGUUACUCACUAAUAUAUUAAGAACCUAGACAACCAGGUGAGGGGAGUUCUCUCUAAUAAUUAAGACCUAGACAACCAGGUGAGGGGAGUUACUAACUAAUAUAUUAAGACCUAGACAACCAGGUGAGGGGAGUUACUCUCUAAUAUAUUAAGACCUAGACAACCAGGUGAGGGGAGUUACUAAGUAAUCAAUAACCUUAAUUGAUCGAUCACGUA